rnacentral:rRNA from 1 species
UGGGGAAUUUUCCGCAAUGGGCGAAAGCCUGACGGAGCAAUGCCGCGUGGAGGUGGAAGGCCUACGGGUCGUCAACUUCUUUUCUCGGAGAAGAAACAAUGACGGUAUCUGAGGAAUAAGCAUCGGCUAACUCCGUACCAG